ACGGAAGGCAGCAGUGGGGAAUAUUGCACAGUGGGGGAAACCCUGAUGCAGCGACGCCGCGUGGGUGAUGAAGUAUUUCGGUAUGUAAAGCUCUAUCAGUAGGGAAGAUAAUGACGGUACCUAACUAAGAAGCACCGGCUAAAUACGUGCCAGCAGCCGCGGUAAUACGUAUGGUGCAAGCGUUAUCCGGAUUUACUGGGUGCAAAGGGAGUGUAGGUGGUUUGGCAAGCCAGAAGUGAAAACCCGGGGCUCAACCCCGUGGAUUGCUUUUGGAACUGUUGGACUAGAGUGCAGGAGGGGUAAGCGGAAUUCCCAGUGUAGCGGUGAAAUGCGUAGAUAUUGGGAAGAACACCGGUGGCGAAGGCGGCUUACUGGACUGUAACUGACACUGAGGCUCGAAAGCGUGGGGAGCAAACAGGAUUAGAUACCCUGGUA
rnacentral:rRNA from 1 species